UCCUCCCCUGUCAAUGACACUGUGUGCUUGUAAGAUAUUUCUACUUGCGAGUAGAGCGACCCAUAUUAUCACUCCCAAUGCCAUUACCCAAACAGAGCCUUCAUCUAAUUUCCCAUUUUCGUCCUCUGGUAUACCCUAAAUCCUAAACCCACUUUUUCCCUCUUUUUUAUCUAAAUUCACCGCUCUCCCUAUCCAGAAUUCCCAUAUUACUACCAAUAUAAUAUACGUUUUUGCUCAAGUUUUGGUUUCCCUGAGCCGAUCAUUGAGACAUACAUACAUUGAUUUUGAUGGCAACCGCUCAGCAAGCUUCUGAUCGCUUAAACUCCCCUGGUGUGUGAACAAAAUUCCAAACCUGCUUUAUAUUUUCUAGUGGAUUUCGGAAACUUUACGUGUGGAGAUAUCCGAUGGAGUUUACAUUUUUAGUGUGUGUCUUAUUUUUCUUUUCUUCAUCUGGGAAGUCUGAUUUUUAAGCAUCAAUGGAUUUCUAGGACUUGGUUCUUUCAUUGGUUUCGUGUUCUACGAGAAAUUGUAACGUGAAUGAAUUGAUUAUAAUCGAGGUGGAUUCCUUCCUUCAACGUUGGCAGCAAAAUGCAUUUAUUGCCUUUUUCUUUUUGAUGUUCCUGAGUUUUUGCUUAUGGUGAUAGCUUUUGAUGAGUCAUCAAGAUAAGAUAGAGAAACUAAAUGGUUGUGCUUCAUAGCUUAUGAACUGCCACAUUUAGACGUAUCUUCAGGUUACUCAGGAUAGGAAAGUUGUGAAUUUUUCUGUAUUUGCAUUAAGUUCGUGAUCAAAUUCUGUGCGUUUGAUGGUCUGGAUUAUGCGCAGUUGCCACUUCAGUUUGCUACCUCUUGUAUUACUUGCCCGUGUAUGUGCUUGCGUGCACCAGCAGAUUUAUUUUUCCUUGGUUAGCAAGUGUUUUAUUUGGCCCAUUUAAUCCCAUUUUGUGAUUUUUUUAGAGUCUGCUGAGGCUUUGCACGUAAUGGUCAUAGAUACAAAGCAGAAUCCUGCCAACACACACAUGUUGAAAGAUCAGGUACCGGCCACAUCAAGCACUUUUAUUUAUUGGCUAAACUGGAUGAGUAUGUAUUGGAUGAGCUUGAUU
rnacentral:lncRNA from 1 species